AGGACGAACGCUGGCGGCGUGCUUAACACAUGCAAGUCGAGCGGUAAGGCCUUUCGGGGUACACGAGCGGCGAACGGGUGAGUAACACGUGGGUGAUCUGCCCUGCACUUCGGGAUAAGCCUGGGAAACUGGGUCUAAUACCGGAUAUGACCUCCUAUCGCAUGGUGGGUGGUGGAAAGAUUUAUCGGUGCAGGAUGGGCCCGCGGCCUAUCAGCUUGUUGGUGGGGUAAUGGCCUACCAAGGCGACGACGGGUAGCCGACCUGAGAGGGUGACCGGCCACGACUGGGACUGAGACACGGCCCAGACUCCUACGGGAGGCAGCAGUGGGGAAUAUUGCACAAUGGGCGAAAGCCUGAUGCAGCGACGCCGCGUGAGGGAUGACGGCCUUCGGGUUGUAAACCGUCUUUCAGCAGGACGAAGCGCAAGUGACGGUACCUGCAGAAGAAGCACCGGCAACUCGUGCCAGCAGCCGC
rnacentral:rRNA from 1 species